GAGAGAGAGAGAGAGAGAGAGAGAGAGAGAGAGAGCGAGGGAGAGAUGUGACAUCAGACUCCGGCAGCGCACGCAGUGAACUCAGCAUCCCCGUUCUCCCGGAGCCGCUUGCGCCCCACGCCCUACAGAGAUCAACACGAGCGGACGAUGAGUUUGUUGUGUUGCAGCCGGCGGCAGUGAGGACAGACGAUGGCCACGGUAGCGGCGUCCUACGACCAGCUGGCCCACCAGGUGCAGGCCCUCCGCAAGGAGAACUCCCACCUGCGGCGUGAGCUGGAGGACAACUCCAACCACCUGUUCAAACUGGAGAACGAGACCUCAGACAUGAAGGAGGUGCUGAAGCAGCUCCAGACUAAACUGGACCAGGAGGCGGGAACACUGGCCUCCUCGGGGCGGACCGACGUCCUGGACCAGCUCAAAGAGCUUCACAUGGACCUGACCAACUACUACGAGCUGAAGACCCGCCCUGCCCCGCCCCCCCUCAGUGGGGCGGGGCGGGACGACCUCCUGGCCCUAGCUCCGCCCCCCUCCACAUUAGCCCCGCCCCCCUCCGCCCUGUUGAGGGGCCCACUGCGCCCCCCCUCCUCCUCCUCCUCCCGGCAGAACACUGUCCCCGACGACGCCCUCCUGGACGGAGCCCCGCCCAUGGCCGCCCUGAUUGGUGGAGAAGGACGAAUGAAUGAGCAGCAUGUGGAGGAGCUGUACCGUGAAAAGAGGCUGCUGCUGAGCGAGAUGGAGCGGGAGGAGCGGGAGAGGUGCUGGUUCUACAGCGAGCUGCAGGGACUCACACAGAGGCUCGCACAACUACCGCACAUCGACACGUUCUCCAUCCAGAUGGACCUGAUCCGGCAGCAGCUGGAGUUCGAGGUGCAGCAGGUGCGCUCCGUCAUGGAGGAACGCUUCGGGACCAAUCAGCUCACGGUGCAGAGGACCCAGAUGCGUGUGGGUCGUCUUGAACAGCUGGAAAGAGAGCUUCAAGAAGCCAGAGAGAACCAGGAGCUGCAGCUGUGCGGUGCGGAGUCGCCCCCUGGCGGCGAGACAGAGAACAGCACGUCGGCCGCCGCCGCCGCCGAGACGGCCGGGGACAGCGGGAGCAAGGUGGAGAUGGUGUUCUGGCUCCUCUCCAUGAUGGCCAACCGGGACAAGGAGGAGCUGUCGCGGGCGCUGCUGGCCAUGUCCAGCUCCCAGGAGAGCUGCGUGGCCAUGCGCCGCUGCGGCUGUGUGCCGCUGCUGGUGCAGAUCCUCCACCAGGGGCCGGACGGGGGGGCGGACGGGGGCCCGGACGGGGGGCCGGACGGCUGCAGCCGCGAGGCGCGGUCCCGGGCCAGCGCCACGCUCCACAACAUCAUCUACUGCCAGGCGGACGAGGGCCGGGCGCGGCGCGAGAUGAGGGUGCUGCACAUGCUAGAGCAGAUCCGCUCGCACUGCGACUCGGGCUGGGAGUGGAUCCACAGCCACCGGGCCGCCCCCACGCCAGGGGGCACCCGGGCCAGCGACAUCCCGGAGCCAGUGGACCCUCAGAUCUGUCAGGUGACCUGUGCUGUGAUGAAGCUCUCCUUCGAAGAGGAGUACCGCCGUGCCAUGAACGAGCUGGGCGCCCUGCAGGUGGUGGCUGACCUGCUCCACCUGGACCAGGAGACGUACGGGAUGCUCAACGACCCCAUCAACCUGGCGCUGCGGCGCUACGCCGGCAUGGCGCUCACCAACCUCACCUUCGGGGACGUGGCCAACAAGGCCACGCUGUGCUCCAAGCGGAGCUGCCUGGCGGCGCUGGUGGCCCAGCUGGAGUCGGACAGCGAGGAGCUCCACCAGGUGGUCUCCAGCAUCCUGAGGAACCUGUCCUGGAGGGCCGACAUCAGCAGCAAGAGGGUUCUGAGGGACAUGGGCAGCGUCCCGGCCCUCAUCAGCUGCGCCCUGCAGGCCACCAAGGAGUCGACCCUGAAGAGCCUGCUCAGCGCGCUGUGGAACCUGUCCGCCCACAGCGUGGAGAACAAGGUGUCCAUCUGCUCCGUGGACGGGGCGCUGGGCUUCCUGGUGUCCACGCUGACCUACCGCUGCCAGACCAACUCCCUGGCCAUCAUCGAGAGCGGGGGGGGCAUCCUGCGCAACGUGUCCAGCCUCAUCGCCACGCGCGACGACUACCGACAAGUGCUGCGGGACCACAGCUGCCUGCAGACGCUGCUGCAGCACCUGCGCUCCCACAGCCUGACCAUCGUCAGCAACGCCUGCGGGACCCUCUGGAACCUGUCGGCGCGCAGCCCCCGCGACCAGGAGCUGCUGUGGGACCUGGGGGCCGUCAGCAUGCUGCGCAACCUCAUCCACUCCAAGCACAAGAUGAUCGCCAUGGGCAGCGCGGCCGCCCUGCGGAACCUGCUCUCCAACCGCCCCUUCAAGUACAAGGACGCGGCGGUGGUCUCGCCGGGCUCCUGCGUGCCCUCGCUCUACAUGAGGAAGCAGAAGGCGCUGGAGGCGGAGCUCGACGCCAAGCACCUCUCCGAGACCUUCGACACCCUGGACAAGCCCAGCCCCAAGCACCUGGGCCUCCACAAGCCCCUCCGCCACAUGGAGAGCCUGGCCCGGGACUACGCCUCCGACUCGGGCUGCUUCGACGACGACGAGGCCCCCAACCUGUCCAACUGUCUGGACACGGGCAGCUUCUCCCGGCUCUCCAUGUUCCUCAGUAACUCCAACUUCCUCCAAGCGGGAAGGAAAGACAACGAAGCCGAACGGGAGGCGGAGCCGUCUCACGGCGGCGACAAGCGGCACACGUCUCACGACCACGUGGUGUCCGCCGCCGCCGAGACGCUCGCCAAGAAGAUCACCAACACCGUGGCCAAGAUCGACCGCCUGGUGGACGACAUCACCAUGCACACCUCGUCGGAGGACAGCUUCAGCCUCAGCUCCGAGGACCCCUUCGCCGACUGGCCCUACGGGAUGGACGAGCUGAACGAGGCGCGGGCCAAGUCCUGCUCGCCCUGCCACCUGUCGGACACCAGCAGCCUGGCCCACAGGGAGCGGCUCGGCCGGGCCCACGCCCUGAUCCGCCUGAAGGCCGCCCACACCAGCCUGUCCACCGACAGCCUGAACAGCGGCAGCACCAGCGACGGCUACUGCGGCAGUAAAGACCAGAUCGCCUCCCCAGCCACCGCGGCCACCCUGCAACACAAGAGGCCCAGUCAGCUGGAUCUCAAGGUCAUUCAUCAGGAAUAUGCUAAUCAUCAGCCAUAUGCUAAUCAUCUGGAGUAUGCUAACCGUCUGGAGUAUGCUAAACGUCAGGAGUUUGCCAAUGCCGGGCCAACUGCCAUGAGCCACCCCAACCCGCUCAAUGUUCCAGAGAGAGAUUCUGUGGACAACAAAGAGCUCAAAGCUUGUGAUGCUAGCAGUGUAGAGCAGGAGCUGGCAGCUCACACCCCGACCAGCGUCUCAACUAAACUCUCCUCCGACGUCAGCAUGGCCUCCAUCAAGCUCUCCCCCUCCUAUCAACACGUUCCUCUGAUUCACAGCGGGGCUAAAUUUGGUGCAGCGAAGACGACAGUGCAUGUGCAGGCCGCCCAGGCCGUGAGGAGGCAGGCCUGGGUUCCUAGCGUGCUCACAGGGGGGAGUCUCACCAAGUUCCCUCCCCUUGGCCCUGCCCGGAGCCCCAUCAUCGGCCCCCUGGAGACGGUGCAGAAGUACUCGGUGGAGAACACGCCCAUCUGCUUCUCGCGUUGCAGCUCGCUGUCCUCGCUGUCCUCCGGGGAGGGGCCACUGGACGGGCAGAGCCAGAGCGACAACGAGCUGGAGAGUGACUCGUCGCUGGAGAUCAUCGAGGUCGAGGACGGAGAAGAGAUGGUGAAGACGACCGCAGAAGACGAAACCUUGGAAGAUCUCAGCGACAGCCAGCUGCUAGUGACCGACUCCAAAACCUUCCCUGGGAAGGACGAGCUCCUGACCGAUCCCACGGAGAUCCCGUCCAAACAGGAGAAGGAGUACUCCCGCGGCGCGUCGCCCACCCUGCUGGAGGACCGCUCUCCGUCCAGCUCCUCGGAGAACUACAUCCACGAGACGCCGCUGGUCAUGAGCCGCUGCAGCUCCCUCAGCUCUCUCGGGAGCUUCGACUCUCCGUCCAUCGCCAGCUCCAUUCAGAGCGACCCGUGCAGCGAGAUGAUCGAUGGAACCAUCAGCCCCAGUGACCUCCCCGACAGUCCGGGUCAGACCAUGCCGCCGAGCCGGAGUAAGACCCCCUGCUGUGUGGAGCCGAACCCCGCGGACACGCAGGGCGGCGCCGUGCCGUGGGAAAGCAGCCUGCGCAAGUUCCUCGAGAUCGCAGACUUCAAAGAGAGGUUCAACCUCCCUCCUGACCUGGACACCAUGAUCUACUUCACUGUGGAGAAGCCCACGGAGAACUUCUCGUGUGCGUCGAGCCUGAGCGCCCUGCCCCUGCAUGAGCACUACGUCCAAAAGGACGUGGAGCUGAAGCUCACUCCUCUGCUGCAGCAAAGCGACAGAAACCCUACGCUCGCCGACGACGACGCAGCGGACCGGGAGGAACGCUCUAGCGAGGCGACCUCCGACGACGACAUAGAGAUCCUGAAAGAAUGCAUCAACUCGGCGAUGCCGUCAAAGUUCCGCAAGGUCCGGCCGUCGCUGAUGGCCAGCAUUCCACCUCAUCUUCUAAACUCUCAGAGCAAGACACAGAUGCAGCUGCCGGUCUACAUGAUGGUCCCACACUCCAGCGGCCAGAGGUCCUCUGGGAGGAGGGUCGUCAUGACGCAGAAGGAGAUCACACUCGACGACUCGUCCUUCACCGACUCUGCAGAAGGGACUCCGGUCAACUUCUCCAGCACCACGUCUCUGAGUGACGAGACUCUUCAGUACCCGGUGAAGGAGAAGGGAGCCAAGGACUGGAGGGCCAGAGACACCGGGAGCCAGGACAUGGUGGACGACGAGGCCAAGAGGAUCGACGACUUGAGGAAGUUCUCUUACUUCCAUAAGAACAAUCGGGUGAACUCCCAACCCAACGUACAAGUCCACCAGACGAGCAAAACUACGAAGCACGUCAUCCAAACUCAGAAACUGCUGAUGCAGAGUAAAGAAGUGACUGACAGAGUGACCAAUCAGAGGAACCGUGAUCAGUCGCCCAAUCAGCAGCGGCCACGGCAGGGGCAAGUCCUGGCACUUCCUGUCAUACAAAACCCUGAGAUGAUCCAAACAUCCCACACUAAAGAAGACGUCUACUGCUACAAUGACCAGAAGGAACGAGAAGAGCGGUUCACCAAACGACCGGGGAGAAGGCAGACAAGGGAAGCGAGCAGAAACACUCUCUCCCGGAGCAUGACCAACGUCGGCAGAACAGAGCCGCAGAGCGAGCCCAAAGGCUUCCACAGGAUCAAGCAGAACCUGAUGAAGAGCGACUCGCCGUCGUGCUACUCCCUCAGCACCUCUCUGAGCUCCCUCAGCGACGCAGAGUUUGAGGAGCACCAGAGCAAACCACAGCAGAUCUGGACCAAGACUAGACACAACAAAACCAACCCGACGGGGCUCUCCCGGCCCACGGCCUUCCACAGCCCGUACGAGGCGCAGAGCUCGCCCAGCUCCGUGAGCCUGGACUCCGAGGACGACCUCCUGCAGAGGUGCAUCACGUCCGCCAUGCCCAAGCAGAGGAGGAAGAUGGCCGCCAGGAAGAAGAAGGCAGAGAAGAAUCAGAAUCAAAAGAACAACACGCAGAAGUUCAUCUGGAACAUGGAUCAGGACUCUGAUAGUGACGACCUGGCGUCCGACAAAGACUCAGACCUCAACAGUGUGGAGUGGAGAGCGAUACAAGAAGGAGCAAACUCUGUGGUCACAGGAUUGAUGGCAUCCAAGUCACAGGAGCCUUCCUCCGAAGAGACAGAGUCCGUCCUUUCGUUCAUGUCCACGUCCAGUUUUACACCCAAGGAAAAGACGUUUGCCAAAGACAAAAAGCCCAACAAACCUCUGGACUUUGCUCAGCGCAAACCGGUUGCAAACCUGCCUGUGGUGUUCAGAGGAAGAACAGUGAUCUACACUCCUAAAAAAGAGACAACCCUCUCCCAAAGGCCCCCUCCAAACAAAGUGUCAACAAGGCCAGACGCUCCCAAGAACCCGCAGCUCGCCCAACACCGCUCCAAGAGCCUCCACCGCCUGGGACAGCCCCAGGAGAUGGAGUGGUCCCUCCCCAAGAGGAGCUCCACUCCUCCACCCAGGAUUCCAAAGAGCUCUUCUUCUGGUUCCUCACAAAGCUCUACUCUGUCUAAACACUCCCAGAGGAAGAUCACCUCUCCCAUUCAAAUCAAUAAAUGUGUUCCUAAGAAGAACGCCACACCAUCAUGUAGUCCUCCUGCUACGAGUCCUCCGGAGAGGAAGGGUCGCUCCCCUGUCCCGAGUCAAGAGCAAAAGUCCACCGUACAUAAAACACAGAAGUCUCCGGUUCGAAUCCCAUUCAUGCAGAGCUCAAGGCAAACUAGAGCCAUAUCCCCGUUGGUAACCAACCAGCCGACCAAUGUGAGCAGACCUAACAGCCAUGUGACAGGGAAACGACCUCCUCCAGCCAAUCGGCUGGACCUGGUCCGGAUGACCUCGGCCCACUCGGGUGGAACUGAGACCGAUCGAAAUGGGUUCCUCAGACAACUGACGUUCAUCAAGGAGUCCAAAACCCUCCUGAGGCGCGAGGGCACCGCGCACUCCGCUCCCCCGGCCCAGAGCUCCUCUCGCAGAGGGCGUCCCGCCGCCGCCGCCGUCUUCCUCUGCUCCUCUCGCUGCCAGGAGCUCAAGGUGGCAGUUCAGGGGCCGAGGAGGACGCCGGCUAAGGGUCCGGCCCCCAGGACAGUCCAUUCGGACCCCAGCCGUCUGAAGCAGAGCCCGGCCGCCACGAGGGCCGGCUCCGGGGAGCGGGAAGCCUCAGCCAGGCGUCCGCCCCGGAGGACCAGCUCGGAGAGUCCCUGCAGGGCGGCGCAGCGGCCCGGGCCGGCCAGGGGGUCCGCUGCCAGGCAGCAGCAGCAGGACACCUUCAAACGGCACGCCUCCUCUCCCAGUAUCAACGUACUGAGCCGGGUCACCAGCCGCUCGUCGGUCCGGUCUUCCUCCUCAGACUCCAGUGGGCGAGCCAAGAGUGAAGACGACACCAAGAGGAGAGGGUCGCGGCCGAACCACAGGGUCACCUGGAGGAGGAUUAAGGACGAGGAUGUGCCGCAGAUCUUGAAGACCACUCUGCCGGCGACGGCGCUGCCUCUCGCACCUUCUCCCGAGGAGAAGCCCAAGUCUGCGGCCAUGCCAGGGAAACUGCCCACCAUCAUCCUCGCCUCACGAAAAACAAGCGACGCAACCGUCCAGACGGAAGACUUCUCCGGUAAGACCCACUCGAGCCCCUCCCUCAAGGCUGAGGCGACGCCCUCUGAGGACGGCUCUGGUCUGUCCACGCUGUGGAAGGCCGGGCCAGGAGGGGUCCUCCAGGAAGGGGACUCGGAGGGACCCCCGCGGGGCCACAGCUCCGUCUCCACGGCAACCCCCGACAGCUUCACGUCCGGAGGGGUGCUCUUCCGUCAGGGGUCCCCCAGUAAGUCUGCCAGAGUCACCCCGUUCAACUACACGCCUAGCCCCAUGACCUGCGGCCCCCAGGAGCCCCCCGCCACACCCAACGGCCAGAAGACCGGGGAGAAGGCUGAGGCGUAGAGCGCUCCUCCACCUCAAAGGCGACCCCACCCCUCAGCUCAGGGGGACUCCAUACCCUCUGCGAGACCUCCAACCCUCCACCACUCAUCCACCCUCCUAUCUGCUAGAAGUCCACCGACGUAGCAGUUUAGACCAACAUCACUCACAAUAGACAUGCAUCUUUUGUACUCAUUUUUUACUUGUACAUAGACUUUUGCUUGGUGACUACGUCACACGCACACUUUAAACGUAACUAUCUGGAUGUCGUCACAUAAAGUAACUCCGAGGACAGGCUGACGUAGAACACAGAUAUGCAAAACAAACCACACGGGAAUCCAAACUGUGCCAGACACUAUUUAAUAACUUUAAGUCCUGCUCUCUGAACACCUCCUGCUGCUCUUAGCCACCACCGCUACCCUUUAGCCGCUCCGGCUAGCUGCCGCGCUGGAGACUCUGAUGUGAACCCUGACCUCUGCUGUAAAUAGACUAAUCUAGAAAAUCUUCCAGCGUCACACUUGAUCACGGCUCCCCGUCCUCCUGGGAUCAACGCUCCAGAAAGUCCUCUGGAAACGGAUUGUUCAGGAUUUAAGAACAUUGUCAAGAAUAAUAGAAACCUAUCUGCUAUCACCUAUCCCCCCAUGCCCCCCUGCUAUCACCUAUCCCCCCGCUAUCACCUAUCCCCAUGGCCUCCCUGACUGCCUAUCCCCAGCUCAGUAUUCUGUAUCAGCUGUUCUGCCGCCGUCGUUCUGUGUAAUGUAUUCUUGUCUUGCUGUACGUAGUGAUAGAUGAUAGAUCAGGAGGCCCACAUACCGGCCUCCCGUGUUGUGGAACAUCUUAACGUCAUGCUUCAGAUGCUGUGGCGUCCUCCCUGACGCCGGCACAGCGUGACGGACAGGUGCCCUCCAGAGGCUUCUGGUCUCCAUGCCAACGCCCUGCUGGGACCACUGACCUGGGAAGGGUUCAGGGUCAGAGACCUCCGGUCCGCCGUUCAGCUCACAGCAGGACCACCGGCCCACAGACGCUCGUUAUGGUCGCCCUGCUCCUAGUUACCACCCGCUAGUACCUUAGGGCCACCUCCUACACCUCACCCCAGGACCACACGGUGCACCACUCUAUACCUACAAGUGCUACUAGUUACCACCCGCUAGUACCUUAGGGCCACCUCCUACACCUCACCCCAGGACCACACGGUGCACCACUCUAUACCUACAAGUGCUACUAGUUACCACCCGCUAGUACCUUAGGGCCACCUCCUACACCUCACCCCAGGACCACACGGUGCACCGUACUAUACCAUUAUGAUACCAGAUAGUUCACCACACUAUACCAUUAUGAUACCAGAUAGUUCACCAUACUAUACCAUCAUGAUACCAGGUGGUACACCGUACCAGUGUGAUACCAGAACACCAGGUGGUACCCCAUACCAGUAUGAUACCAGUACAUCAUACCAGUAAGAUACCAGUACAUCAUACCAGUAUGAUACCAGUACAUCAUACCAGUAUGAUACCAGUACAUCAUACCAGUAUGAUACCAGUCCAUCAUUCCAGUAUACCAGGUGGUACCAGGUGAUGGCCUGGGCUGUGAGGUGUGAAUCUGUACGUGGGUCUGAGUUGGUGUCAAUAAAGUGAUGUUUUAAUAA